rnacentral:rRNA from 1 species
UGAUCACUGGCUCACGAAAUAAACUCGCUCCUUGGGUGGCCAGAGGCGGACGGGUGACGAAUAAUCUGAAUCUACUUUGUCGUGGGGGAUAACGUAGGAAAGCUUACGCUAAUACCGUAUACCACCUACAGGUGAAAGCUCGGGACCUUCGGGCCUUGCGCGAUUGAAUGAGCCGAAGUCGGAUUAUCUAGUUGGCGGGGUAAAGGCCCACCAAGGCCACUAUCCGUACCUGGUCUAAGAGGAUGAUCACCCACACUGAAACUGAGACACGAUCCAUACUCCAACGGGAGGCGGCGAUGGGGAAAAUUGGACAAUGGGCGCAAGCCUGAUCCACCCAUACCGCGUGGGUGAACAAGGCCUUCGGGUUGUAAAGCCCUUUUGUUGAGAAAAAAUUCCAUCUGGCUAAUACCCGGUUGGGAUGACUGUACCAAAAAAAUAAGCACCGGCUAACUUCAUGCCCCCAGCCGCGGUAAUAGGAGGGGUGCUAGCGUUACUCUGAAUUACUGGGCGUAAAGCUUGCCUACGUGGUCGUUUAAGUGUGUUGUGAAAGCCCUGGGCUCAACCUGUGAACUGCAUUGGAUACUGGGCGACUAUAGUGUAGGAUAGGGUAACGGAAUUCGUGGUGUAGCAGUGAAAUGCGUACAGAUCAAGAGGA